GAAGGAACAAUGUCCGCGCGCAGCAACUGCAUAGUAUCGACUUUGAAAGAGAGGUUCAUUUAAAUAAGCAAUGUGCAUCGAUGGGUCAUCAUUAUAGAUUGGGAGAUUGUGCUCAUCAACCGACGUGAUCACUCAAAGAAGUAAAACGCCAUAUAAGGUCAGGAGAGGAGAAGCAAUAAGUACUAAUACACUUCAAGAAUCAUGUAAGGAAUAAGAAUCCUCCCAGAAAACAUGAAUGUAUGGAAUUCAUUUCCAUGCAUUCGCCAAGAUUCCAGAAUGAUGCCCGAGUUCGAAUUAAAAUCCUAGUAUAUAAAGAAUACUAGCAAAAAUAGAGUGUGAUUGAAAAUAUUCGUUUGAGACUGAAAAGUAUUCAUUUUAUUUUUGUUUUGUUAUUUUUAAACCUUAUUUGCAGACUUGCAGUUAUGUGAUAUUUUCAGUUUUUAUUAUAAUUAUAUUUUCAAUGAA